AUAUAAAUGAUCAGAAAACUUUGACUUUGAUCGUGGAAUUUCUUAUUUCAGAGAUAAUAUUAGAUUAUUUGCGAAAAUGACUUUGUUUUUGCGCAGCAUAAUGACCAAAUACUCAUAUUAUAUAUUUUUAUUAUUAGCUUGCCACUAUCAGCUCCUACCAUUGCAGAGUAACCACCAUGUCCCCUAGAUACAGCUGUACUUUUCUAG